rnacentral:rRNA from 1 species
CACGGAGGGUGCGAACGUUAAUCGGAAUCACUGGGCGUAAAGCGCGCGUAGGCGGUUCGUUAAGUGGGAUGUGAAAUCCCCGGGCUUAACCUGGGAAUUGCAUUUCAAACUGGCCGACUAGAGUACGGUAGAGGGAGGUAGAAUUUCCUGUGUAGCGGUGAAAUGCGUGGAUAUAGGAAGGAAUACCAGUGGCGAAGGCGGCCUCCUGGAUCGAUACUGACGCUGAGGCGCGAAAGCGUGGGGAGCAAACAGG